GCGCGGGCCUUGGCACGGGGGAGUUAACACUUCAUGCUUCUCGCCUCCUCUUCUGCGCAGCUCUCUUUUAUUAUUAUUUUUCUUUCCUCUCUCUCCCUCGCGCGCGCGCUGUCUCCCUCCGUGCAAAGUGCAAGGCAGAGGUGCAGCCCGGCUGGAGGAGAGGGAGGGGGCAGUUGAGUUCUUUCUUGCCUUUUUUUUUUUUAAAGAAAAAAAGCAAAAUAGCGAAGUCCUGGGGAAAGACGAGGCAGAGAGCAAAGGGGGGAGGGGGAGGCCAAGCCGACGAGCAGCCCGAGCUACAGCUCGAAGAUGAAAAAAGAUUUUAAAGCCUCUGAUCCAAGCAAGAAGAGUUUAAAGCAAUUGCGGAGUUUUAUAGCACUCGUGACGUCAGGUCCAAAUGAGAAAUUGACUGGCACUCCGGACCAAUGGGAGGCGGCGAGAGCGGCUGCGAUUAGCAUAAUAGUAUAGAAACAAGGAAACUUUUCGGAGCUGUCAAUCAGGGCCCAAUCAGCUGACUGUCAGCUGGGACGGGCUGGCUUAACCCUUCCUGCGCCGCUGCCUACCCGGGAGGGAACGAGCCCCGGCGCAAAGUUUGCUGUAAGAGGGGAAGGAGUUUUUCCAGAGGGGCUUCGGGAAUCCGAGCGGACCUCCUGGGAGGAACGUUUUGCUUUUUUUUUUUUUUUUUUUUGGAGCGCCAGGCAGGCUUGACAUCCGGAGCCCCCGCUCGCCAGGCGCUCACUCUGCUGCUAUUGGCCUGACCCCCCUCCCCUGCCUGCCCACCACCCCCAGGAUUGUGAAUUCGCCUCUCUACUUCGCCUCCUCGCUCCACUUCUGGCACCCAGGUGUCUGACCGGGGACCUUCCUUCUCUGAGCCUGGCCCUGCCGGGCGCUCAAACUUGGUACCAACUCUUUGUCCCGGUCUCGAGCGCCCGUGCGGGGAAGGGGCGGGGAAGGGAGGGAUGCGCCGGGGUGCCAGGGUCGGGACUUGGCGCGCGACGCCGCCAGAUCGUGCGCCUGCCCGGAAUGCUGGGAGUCUGUGGAGAGAGAAAGCCCAUGUUAUCACUCUCUUUAAAAGGAGUUUUCCAGAUCGAUUCUGUUAAAGUUUAUGCAGAAAAAAAAAAGAAGGAAAAAAGAAAGAAAAGAGAAAGAAGAAAACCAACAACUCUGUUUCUAAGAUUUUAAAGCGAUAGACAAGUCGAAGCAGCAGAGAUUUAUUUGGAGAGAAAGCUCCUGAAACCGACUCAGCCUUUUGGAAGACCAGCCCGCCCACCUGGAAGUUAGGACUGUUGAUUCCUUCAAUUAAUGAAGUGCAUUUGGUGUUGUUAAUCGUAUUUAUUUUACUUUAUGAGAGUGGGGGAGACGCUAGGAGGGUGCCUUAAAAAAAAAAAAAUUCCGAAAAGCCUGCAAAAGGAUCGAAGAGUGCGAACUAUGGUUGGAGCGAGUUGGUUUCUACCUCAACAGCGCCACCUUUCGGCAAAGGUCAGUUGAAAUUGAUCCGUGUCCAGUUUUGUCGAUGAAGUGAAAAGCAGCCGGUUACCCAAUGUGGGAGGAGGAAAGCAGCACAGAAAGUUAGUUUGACUGAAUUCGGAGAACCCGACCCUGUAGGAAAGGGGCCGAAGAAAGUGCUGGCAGAUACAGGGACCAUAUUUUCCCACUCCUCUUCUCCUGGAUGGUUGACAAAGAGGCCCGGGACACACACACCCUCAGGGUGUAAUUUCUGCCUGAGACCUUUGCAAGGGGAUCCCAAGUUAACAGGGCCCCCAAACCCUUUAAAAGUGCUGGGAUGGAUUUUCAACGGGCUUUAUGGCGAUAUCAAUAGAAUUAAAGUUACUUGUAAUUCAGUGAUAAAUGAGAUGUCUCUAGUAAGUAAGAUUAAGUGCAGUGCUAUAAAGUUGUUUAUCUGAAAAGUAAUUCUCAGAAAACCUGACUUCUGACACUUAGUCAUAUAUUAAGCCAGCGUCUUGAACAUUGCACUUCAGAACGGUCUUCCCCACCCCGCAGCAUACUUUGCUAUUUAUAACGAGAACCUCAGGUGUCUCUCACUUGCUCCUUGCACCCGAUUAGACUUGUGUUAAUUUCUCUGAUCAUAGUAGCCUUCAGUUUCAGCAAACCCAGGAGACUCCCCAAAAUAUAUGUAGGCACAUUCUAAUCUGAAAAGAGCAGCGCUGUUGGUAUUUUUCAGACAAGUAGUUUUUCUUUUCAUCGUGACUGCAGAGAAGUUGUUUAUAAGGGUAGUUUUGGUUUUAUAGGAGCACUUUGUUGGGUGGAAUAAACUAUGUCUAUUACCAGUUUGGGGAAGAAAGAGUGAAGAUUGUGUCAAUAUUUAUGCAACCUAGCAGAAUUCCCUUGCUUUCCUUCUCUUUAACAAUAUUUUACCUAGUAAUGAAGUUAAGGGAUUACGUUUAUGUAUUUAGAGGAAAAUCCAGUUUAAAUUACAUAAGUAUUGUGUCAUUUAACAUUUUCCGUAACUAUAGUUUUCUAGAUCUUUUUAAAAGUCAGUAGUAACAAAUGUCUGAAGUUUAUAUUUUUCAUGUAAAAUAUGAAUGUAUGUAUAUUUAGAAAGAAUUUAUUUUUUAUUUGGGAUAUAUUUUUAAUCCUUUUACAUCAUAUUUGUGUUAAAAGCUGUAAGGUAUG
ensembl:lincRNA